CCCUUCCUUGGGCCCCGCCCAGCCCCGCCGGCCGCCCGCUACCUGGGGAACCGAGGGAGGAACGGGCGGGGUCCUCAGGUGCCCGGCGACGUCAUGCAGCCCCCAAGGCUCCAGGACGCAAAGGGUCCCCUGAUCUGGCAGUCCCUGGACCCACCCUGGAGAGCGUGGGGGGACAAAGGCCGGACGCGCCUCCCGCUGCCGCCUCCAGGAAGCUAUCCCUUGCCAGGACAGUGGAGUUGGCCGGCUGAAGAGGAAAAGGAACAGUAGGUACAAAGCAAGGCAACAUCAGAAAGGGGAGCCCUGAGGAAUUUCUCCCUCCUUCCCCCAGCCAGGUCCUUCCAAAGUGCCUACGGAAAGCUCUGUCCCACACUUGAAAAAUUGCUAAUGGGUUUGGAGAUACAAGGUGGAGAUGACUAGCAAUCAAACUCGAAGAUGGAAAAGUCACAUCGAGGCAGAUGAGCAGAUGAGGGGACCUAGAGAAGAAGAGAGGUGCAUGGAAAGCCCAGCCAGCAGGAACAUCUGCCCCAGCAGGCAGCACUGCCCCACAUCAGAGUCGAGGAAAGCAAAGCUCGGAUUGGAUAAAAGAAACCUGCGAACACGGUCAUGCUCACUGCACGUGGGCUCAGAGCACGUUACCCUCCUUCCCUGCAUGUUCCUGUGAAACGGGUUUACUGCUCUAACUCUCAGGGACGCUGUGAAGAUCAAACGAGAAAAUAGAAAUAAACAUAACUUAUAAACCAUAAAGUACUGAUACCAAAAGAGGGGUGAGCACAGCAUUGUGAAUGUGCUGAUACUAAAUGGUUUACUUUAAGAUGAUUUUAUGGUGUGUGAAUUUCGCUUGAAUAAAUUUUUUUAAUGGAGUUCAUGGGGACGCUGCAGGAUGUCAAUAACCUUUGGACAUUUUGGCAGCGCUUUAGGUGUUAAAAUUAUUUUUUAAAAAAUACAGGAUGAAGGGAAAAGCUUCAUGACGUUGGAUUUGGCAGUGAUUCCUUGGAUAUGACCCCAAAAGCACAGAUGACAAAAGAAAAAAUAGUUAAAUUGUCUUCAUCAAAAUUAAAACUUUUGUACAUCAAAGAGCUCUUUCGAAAGAGUGAAAAAGUCACAGAAUAAGAGAAAAUGUUUGCCAAUCAUAUACCUGAUAAAGAAUUAAUAUUCGGAGCCAGAUGCAGUGGCUCAUACCUGUAAUCCCAGCACUUUGGGAGGCCAAGGCAGGCAGGUCACUUGAGGUCAGCAGUUCGAGACAAGCCUGGCCAAAAUGGUGAAACCCCAGCUCUACUAAAAAUACAAAAACUAGCCAGGCAUGGUGGCGGGCACCUGGAAUCCCAGCUAUUUGGGAGGCUGAGGCAGGAAAAUCGCUUGAACUCGGAAGGCAGAGGUUGCAGUGAGCCAAGAUCACGCCACUGCACUCCAGCCUGGACGACGAAGUGGGACUCCAUCUCAAAAAAAAAACCAAAAACAAAAAAAGAGUCACUAUUCAGAAUAUAUUAAGAAUUCCUACAACUCAACAACAACAAAAAAAUCCAACCCAAUUAAAAAAUAGGCAACAGACCCAAAUAGAC